CCUACGGGAGGCAGCAGUGAGGAAUAUUGGUCAAUGGUCGGGAGACUGAACCAGCCAAGCCGCGUGAGGGAGGAAGGUACAGAGUAUCGUAAACCUCUUUUGUCAGGGAACAAAGGCGGGGACGUGUCCCCGGAUGAGUGUACCUGAAGAAAAAGCAUCGGCUAACUCCGUGCCAGCAGCCGCGGUAAUACGGAGGAUGCGAGCGUUAUCCGGAUUUAUGGGGUUUAAAGGGUGCGCAGGCGGUCUGUUAAGUCAGCGGUCAAAGCCCGGGGCUCAACCCCGGCCCGCCGUGGAAACUGGCAGUCUCGAGUUGGAGAGAAGUAUGCGGAAUGCGCGGUGUAGCGGUGAACUGCAUAGAUAUCGCGCAGAACUCCGAUUGCGAAGGCAGCAUGCCGGCUCCACACUGACGCUGAGGCACGAAAGCGUGGGUAUCGAACAGGAUUAGAUACCCGGGUAGUC
rnacentral:rRNA from 1 species